AUUCCAGCUCCAAUAGCGUAUAUUAAAGUUGUUGCAGUUAAAAAGCUCGUAGUUGGAUUUCUGGUGGGAGCGUUGGGCCGGCCCUAAGGGUCUGAGCUCAAAUGUUUUCCGCCAUCCUUGGAGGGAUGUUGUCUGGCAUUAAGUUGUCGGGCUUCCGAUCUCCAUCGUUUACUGUGAAAAAAUUAGAGUGUUCAAAGCAGGCUUAUGCCGUUGAAUACAUUAGCAUGGAAUAAUAAGAUAGGACCUUGGUACUAUUUUGUUGGUUUGCGUACCUAGGUAAUGAUUAAUAGGGACAGUUGGGGAUAUUACUAUUUCGUUGUCAGAGGUGAAAUUCUUGGAUUUACGAAAGAGUAACUACUGCGAAAGCACUUAUCAAGGAUGUUUUCAUUA
rnacentral:rRNA from 1 species